rnacentral:rRNA from 1 species
CCCUGCCAUUUGUACACACCGCCCGUCGCUUCUACCGAUUGAGCGUUCCGGUGAAAUUAUCAGAUUGGAAUUAGUUUUAUGGGCAACCGUUGGUUAGAGUUGAAAAGGCAAGUAAACCAUAACGCUUAGAGGAAGAAGAAGUCGUAACAA